GGUGUACGGUUUCACUUAUAAACAGGCAUUAUUCGCUCUGGUCGGUAUUUUCAGCGAGCCGCGGCGUUUGUUGCGUAACAGAGUCUCACGACAUUUCAGAAUUGCAGCUGGAAGGAUGGCUCAUGUUGGAACCUGGCAGGUGCUGCCCUGUGUGCCACAGCAACCAACUGGUCUGGAAAGGAAGCUGAAGAACGAUGGACGGGGAUGAGACUCACACUUCAUCUACAGGAUUGUCAGCGCAUACAGUGAAAACAGGAAGAGAAGGAGGAAAGAAGGGGACCUCUGGCAGCUGACGCAUAGGGGAGGAGCUGAGCUCAGUUCUGAGUGGCAGAUAGAGGUGGGAAGGGCGGGAACUCCGGGAGCAGGAGGUCUGAGUCCAGGGAGAAGGUGCCUGCAGGGAAGAGCCAAGACCAGGAAAAGACUGGGCCCGGGAAGGCUGUUAAGCCUCACGCUCUGGGAGUGGGAAUGAAACUGCAGGGGCAACGGUGAGCUCAGAUGUUAUCUAAAGAGGGCAAAGAGAUGGCUCUUGUCUUCACGUUCCUCUUCCCCUCAUCCCUCGUGUGGCAAGUCUGGAGCUCUUCCUUCGCUCCAUGCUAGCCCAGCAAGAUCAUUCUCACUAUGGGGACAGGGAACCCGUAACACUUGGAAGUGCUUGAGACGGAGAGAUAAAUGACUAUGGGGACUGGAAAGGACCCACGUGUUUAUUGUUCUUGAAUUAAAUAUGGAGCGGGGAGCUGGUGCCCAGGCUGCCCCAGACUUGGUUGCAGAUUCCGUCAUCUUCUAUGUGUCAAGCUGACCCAGUGGAAGGGCACUAAUUGGGCUAUCAGGUUUCUCAAGCUCACCUAUGUUCUGCUUCGUUUCCCAAUCAUUGGCUCUUUGGAUGUCUGGAGCAAGGCAAGGUUCCCUAUGCUGGAGAUAAAAAUCCCAGCCAAGAUUUCCCUUUGCCCUUAAGGAGCUAGUAGCUAGGAAGUUGCAGACACAGCAGCAUUCCAUAUGCAGCAAGAAGGGCUGGCUCAAUACAGAACAACUGUAGCAGCAGGGAGAAUGACAGUCCAUUCAAGCCUUUUCUCCAAGCCAACCUGAGCCUCUUGCACCCUAUCUCCCCAGGGUUCAGAACAGUCACCCUUCAUUCCCACGAGCCACCUCCCUUCCCCUAAAUGACUCUUUAGAUCUCCUGGACCCUAAGACUUAGCUGAGACUCUGCUGAAGGCUAACUGACUUUCUCCUGGAAGGAGGUUGCAGCGCCUCCACCCCAAGAAUGUUGUAUACAAAGUCUCCUUUGCACUGUAGCCUUCUCACACAGUCAGGCUGUCAGUAUUAAGCAACUGCUUGGUCUAUGAUGCCUGAAAUUUAGAAGCCGGGUAACCCUAUUGUGCCCUGUUUCCUCUCAACCUCACUCUUUGCUCAGAGUGCAGGAUUCUGUAGCUCCAGAGGGUGCUCCGUGCUUUCUUCCUGACUCCGCCUGUCUCUUCCAUCUUCCUUUUAAGUAAGUUCAUUUUCCUGUGCUCUCGAUGUUCUCAUGAGCACAACACAAAGUCUCUCAUAUUCUCACUUUGUGGAAAACUUCUCUCUAUAAAACCUGGCUGUGCCCACAGACCAACUUGCAUGAAGUCCUAUUAAGGGGGAAAAAAAUUAAACCGGGUCUGUAGAGAUGGUUCAGCGGUUCAGAGCACUGUUUGCUUUUCAGAUGCUCAGGGUUCAAUUCUCAGCAGUCACAUGGCGCUUAUGAAUCACUGCAAUUCCAAUUCCAUGGGAUCCAACACCCUCACAUGGACAUACAAGCAGGCAAAACACCAGUGCACAUAAAAUAUAAAUAAAUAAAUGAAUAAUUGUAGCUUCUGUCUUCCCUCAGCUCCUGCUCAUCACACAGCUGAUAUAGAUUCAGACCCUCUGGUGAGAAUGCUCCCCGCUAGGACUCACCACUGAUCACUCCCAUCAGCCGCUGAAGCGCUGUCUUCUAACUCACAUUUCUCUCCCUCAAUCUUGCCAGCAUCAUGAAGACCACACAGUCUCAUGCAUGGCUGCUUUCAGCCUCAGGGUUUUGGAUACCCUCCGUUUCAUCCAUGCCUUUAUUCAGCUCCAGGUCAUCUCAACUGAUAUGAGAACUCAAAAACUCACCUUUGUACUGAUGCCUCUCAAAUCUCUGCCUCCCCAAGCUCCAGUCUCUUGUGGCUGUGGCGGCCUGCCUGACACAUCGCCUCAUUUAACUCCCUCCAAAGGAGCUCCUCUCUCCUGACACCUUUCCUCACACCGCCGCCUUGCCUACAGCCUGUCCCCCCUUCAGGCAAUCUUCAUCCUUGUUCAGGAGGAAACCCUGGGGCCUGCGGUGACUCCGGUGACUCCUUUCUUCUCUCAUGGUGUUUGGCAAAUCAUGGAUCUGGCCACUUCUCACAUGCUUAUCCCCAGCCUCCACCUCUUCAAUCCAGGGUCACUCCCAUGACCGAUCUGGCUCGGAGCUGGCUCUUCGACAGUCUUCUUGUCAUAGGCUUCAACCUGAGUCAGACCCUGUCAUUUCCUUCCUACAUAUGCCCUGAUGCCCUCAGAGUAAGAGGUCAAAUGCCACGGUGAUCUUGGGGUCAGACCUAGCCAAACCCAACCUUCCUGACUUAUUUCCUAGUACUCCCCGUAGCCUCCCUUAAGGAGCAACUCCCAGCUGUUCCUUAGACACCAAACACAGUCCCAUCUCCCUCUCCCCAGAGGCAGCGCAAGCUUCCCUCACUUCCUGCACAGCUCUAUCCAGGCUCACCUCAGCAGUGAGGCCUCCUGUCUUCACCCAGGAAGAGUAGACAGCAGCCUGGCUAUUGUCUGCUACCCUACUGUUUUCUUGUCUGUGUCUUCUUUCCAUGAACAGACUUUUAUUGCUUAGGCAUUGAUGGUCAUGCCAGUGGAACGCUGGUGUGUCUGACUGGCUGCUCCUACAGGGUCAUCACCUCGAUGGUGGAUGUGUUGGAUGUGUGUGCGUGUGUACGCACAGCUUUUCCUAUGGGUGGGAUUCUUUCUUGCUCGAAACAACAGUUGAGAGUUCAGGGGGAGAGUUAUGGCUGUCUGGAGACUCAUUCUUUCCCAAGAACGCCUCCAACACACCUUGUCUGAAUCUGUGAGAUCACAAGUCUGAGACCAGCGAUCCAGAAGAUAAUGUCAGCCUUGUGACUGCUGUGGAUUAAAGGUUGUUCUGUCCUGUGGCAAUGGCUUAGGACACAUAUGCCAGUUAUAUUGAAACGUUCUCUGUCUUAAAAUAGGCUCAUGUGGGAGAUGCAGUAGCAGGUGACUCUGGUCCUGGCCCUGCCCAUUGCCCAGAGAAUAAAUCAAGCUAAAACUGCCCUAUCUCACACUGAGUAAGCUCUGUAAUUUAUCAUUCAGAGGGAUUGUCCAGAGGAGCUGAAGGGUUUGUGCUUUGUUUUUU